rnacentral:misc_RNA from 1 species
GUUGGAUACAAGUUGGCGAGUCGUUGCUGGUGAAGAAAGCAAUGACAUGGAGGUUCAGAAACAACGGGAGAUGAGAGUUCUCGAAGCAAUUUAUCCACGUGAAUCUUCCAUUCCUCCAAAUCCUUCUAUGGGUCCUGGAGAUGAAACCCUUCAUAAUGAUCAGCACACACCAGUUGUACCCUUAACACCUGUUGAAGAGGAGGAGGUAGCAGAUCCUUCAUUUGGCACUGCUGUACCUACUAAUGGUGCCAGCUCAACGGCCCAGGUAAUGCAGUCAGGAGUUCCCUUGGGCAAUAGAAGUGCCGGAAAUAGCCUUCCAGUCCAUGGAAUCUCAUCACCGGGAGGUGUUCCUGGCUUGGGGCUUGAUGCUGUAGCAGAAGCUCAGGCAGCUUUAACUGCAUUCAUGGCAGACAGUGGCCAGGGAAAUCUGAUUGAUCGCGAUCUGCUUAUAAAAAUUUUGAGUGACCCGAAAAUUGUUGGGCAACUGGUUACACACCAAGGAGUAGGCACCAGCUCCCAUAGCGUGCCAGCUAUGAAUACCCAAAGCAUAUCUGCUGCUAAUCUCAU